rnacentral:rRNA from 1 species
UACGGGGGGUGCAAGCGUUGUUCGGAUUUACUGGGCGUAAAGGGCGCGUAGGCGGCGUGACAAGUCACUUGUGAAAUCUCCGGGCUUAACUCGGAACGGUCAAGUGAUACUGUCGUGCUAGAGUGCAGAAGGGGCAACUGGAAUUCUCGGUGUAGCGGUGAAAUGCGUAGAUAUCGAGAGGAACACCUGCGGCGAAGGCGACUCGCUGGACCGGUCCUGACGCUCAGGCGCGAAAGCGUGGGGAGCGAUCCGG